GAGUGGCGGAACGGGUUGAAGUAAUGUCUGGGAAACUGCCUGAUGGAGGGGGAGAACUACUGGGAAACGGUACUAAUACCGCAUAACGCGCAAGACCAAAGAGGGGGACCUUCGGGCCUCUUGCCAUCAGAUGUGCCCAGAUGGGAUUAGCUAGGUAGGUGGGGUAACGGCUCACCUAGGCGACGAUCCCUAGCUGGUCUGAGAGGAUGACCAGCCACACUGGAACUGAGACACGGUCCAGACUCCUUACGGGAGGCAGCAGUGGGGAAUAUUGCACAAUGGGCGCAAGCCUGAUGCAGCCAUGCCGCGUGUAUGAAGAAGGCCUUCGGGUUGUAAAGUAACUUUCAGCGGGGAGGAAGGUGUUGUGGUUAAUAACCACAGCAAUUGACGUUACCCGCAGAAGAAGCACCGGCUAACUCCGUGCCAGCAGCCCGCGGUAAUACGGAGGGUGCAAGCGUUAAUCGGAAUUACUGGGCGUAAAGCGCACGCAGGCGGUCUGUCAAGUCGGAUGUGAAAUCCCCGGGGCUCAACCUGGGAACUGCAUUCGAAACUGGCAGGCUAGAGUCUUGUAGAGGGGGGUAGAAUUCCAGGGUGUAGCGGUGAAAUGCGUAGAGAUCCUGGAGGAAUACCGGUGGCGAAAGCGGCCCCCUGGACAAAGACUGACGCUCAGUGCGAAAGCGGUGGGGAGCAAACAGGAUUAGAUACCCUUGGGUAGUCCACGCCGUAAACGAUGUCGAUUUGGGAGGUUGUGCCCUU
rnacentral:rRNA from 1 species